rnacentral:lncRNA from 1 species
CACACCUAAGGGCCAUGGUAUUCACCUACUACCUCCUGAGAGUGACUAAGGGCCAUUCCAGAGCGGGGCAGCUACUGACUUGCCAGGUACACCUUCCACAGAGCUGCCUUUCACAGUUAGAAAAUAAAAACAAAAACUAAGAAAAGCCUUUUGACAAAGAUUCAGUUAACAGCAGCAGACAGAAAUGGGGAGGAGCACACCGGAAGCUUUUAUGAUAGAGGCAGGGCACUGACAGCACUUUCCACGAUCCCCUAGAUGCUGACUCCUCAGAUGUGUCUCCAGUCCAGAUCUUGUCUCAGCUCCUGACUCAGAAUCAGCUGCCUACUGGACAUCUAGUUGCACUUGAAUAUCUAACAGACAUCUGAAACUUAAAAUGACCAUAAUCAAUCCUUCCCCCAGAAACUGCACCUCCCAUAGGCUCUCACUUAAUGGCAUUUCCAUUCUUUCAAUCACUCAGGCAAAAACUUGGCAGCAUCCUUCAUAUUUUGUUUAUCUCCUGCCCCACAUCCAGUCCAUCAGUUUAAUACUCUGGGUUCAACUUUCAAAAUGUUUCCAUCUCACCUUAUCUUACCUUCUAAACCGCCACUGUUCUGGCCCAAGUCACCAUCAUCUCUAACCUGAAUAAUCUGAGGAGCUACCUAAUGGCUCUCACUGGUUGGACCUGCCCCUGACGCUCACAGCUUCUCAACACAGCUGUCAGUCAUCUUUGUAAGAGUAAACCAACUCAGUGUGUUUCUCAAAGCAGGAUGGUUAGCAAUUCUGAAACCACUUUAUACACGAAAAUCAAACACAUACAAGUAUUGUAGAUAAUAAGAACCAGUUUCUCACUGGUAGAGAAUUAUGUCUGUGUAUCAGGAAAGGGGAAAGGCUGUAAAAAGAAUCCUGAAGGAUUGAAUCCAAAGUGUCGAUUAAAUUUGUAAUUUUAGUAUCUACAGAAAUUCUACUUCCUUUAAAGAAGGGAAAAGGGAUGGAGUCGUAUGUGGGAAUAAAGGAAUAGUAGAUCUGACAAAAAUCAGCUCUUCGUAAAAGCACUAAGAACAAUGGCAAAAGCUAGUAAACUUUUUCAGAACUUUGGAAAUUAACUAAAGGCUUGCUAUAAGCCAAGGAGUGUUUAUUGAGGGAAAACAAUCUCAGAAAAGCCAGUGGCUUUGCCCCACUCCCCAUCUCUGGGGGGGGCUUUGAAAACCAGAAGCCCCAUAACUACAGUACUUGUGGAAACCAGCACUGACUGGAAGGACCAGAAUGGAUUGGAGUGCCCCAAAAUCUUCAGCCACAGAGAACCACUCCUAUUUGCCCUGUCUGGCAAGCUCACUGAAAAUCUCCAUCCUCAGGGCUGUUCUUUAUUUGACCUGAAUGGAGUUCACCCCCUUCAGCACCUCUAACCGCAAUCGCAAUCACUGCUAAGACACAGCCCUUCAACAAAGGCUUGGAAACUUAUUAGUUCAAGACAUGAAAUCUCUGUCUGAACAUUAACUACCACUAAGCUGAGAAUUCAGUGACCACAUAUAACAAAGAAUAUAGCUUUACAAAAUUAGUCCAGGAAAGGAGGCUUCAGGUCCCAGAUGAUGUAGGAAGACCCUGAACUCACCUCCUCCACUGACACUCCAAAUUCACACCUACUUCCAAAACAAUUCCUCCUGAAGAGGAACUGAGGGCUGAAUGAACAACUUCUGCAUAACAAAAGAGAGACCACAUAGAGAAUGAUAAGACAGAUGGAUACACCAUCCUGAAACAAAAUUUACCCCUGACCCUGUGAGCGGCAGGGGGAGGGAGAGUACUAAGAGGUCAGAAGCACAUAGAGGUGCCCUAGG